rnacentral:rRNA from 1 species
GAGUUUGAUCAUGGCUCAGAAUCAACGCUGGCGGCGUGCCUAACACAUGCGAGUCGAACGAGAAAGUGGAGCAAUCCAUGAGUAAAGUGGCGUACGGGUGAGUAACACGUGACUAACCUACCCUUGAGUGGGGGAUAACUUCGGGAAACCGAGGCUAAUACCGCAUAAUACCUUCGGGUCAAAGGAGUAAUUCGCUUAAGGAGGGGGUCGGCGGCUGAUUAGCUAGUUGGUAGGGUAAUGGCCUACCAAGGCUAUGAUCAGUAUCCGGCCUGAGAGGGCGCACGGACACACUGGAACUGAAACACGGUCCAGACUCCUACGGGAGGCAGCAGUGGGGAAUUUUGCACAAUGGGGGAAACCCUGAUGCAGCAACGCCGCGUGGAGGAUGAAGUCCCUUGGGAUGUAAACUCCUUUCGACCGGGACGAUAAUGACGGUACCGGUGGAAGAAGCCCCGGCUAACUCUGUGUCAGCAGUAGCGGUAA